rnacentral:rRNA from 1 species
AACAACCUACGGGGGGCAGCAGUAGGGAAUCUUCCACAAUGGGCGAAAGCCUGAUGGAGCAACGCCGCGUGGGUGAAGAAGGUCUUCGGAUCGUAAAACCCUGUUGUUAGAGAAGAAAGUGCGUGAGAGUAACUGUUCACGUUUCGACGGUAUCUAACCAGAAAGCCACGGCUAACUACGUGCCAGCAGCCGCGGUAGUACGUAGGUGGCAAGCGUUAUCCGGAUUUGUUGGGCGUAAAGGGAACGCAGGCGGGCUUUUAAGUCUGAUGUGAAAGCCUUCGGCUUAACCGGAGUAGUGCAUUGGG